ensembl:lncRNA
GUUAAGAUUAGGAUUGGUUUUACUGAGGUGAAGGUUACAUUUAGGAUUAGUUUUACUGAGGUGAAGGUUAAGAUUAGGAUUAGUUUUACUGAGGUGAAGGUUACAUUUAGGAUUAGUUUUACUGAGGUGAAGGUUAAGAUUAGGAUUAGUUUUACUGAGGUGAAGGUUUUUUUGCCUCACACCUCCAGGAUCCGCAAUUCUGUGUGGAGAUUCGUAUGUUCUCCUUGUGAUUUCUUCCGGAUUGGAUUCUCCAGAAAUUGUGUGUGUACAUGACGGAUUGGCUUCCCAUCCAGGGUGUAUUCCCACAUCACGCACAAUGUUCCCUGGAUAUACUCCAACUCCACUCUGACCCUGAGCCCAGAAAGAAUAAUGCAUAGGCCUGGCUAUAUAUAUA